rnacentral:sRNA from 1 species
UGUAAUUUGUCUAAAUCACACAGCACUAAAGGAAGAGCAAACCCACAAAUUCGGGUGUGUCUCUACAGCACAUUCACCUCAGCAGAUGCUCAGAGACACAGACAGCUCCCUCCAGCCGGCUGUGAUCCCUGGGAACAGGAGUGUCCAAUAGUGGCUGAGCCCGGUCAGGGGCCCCAGCCAGCCAGUACAGAGAAGGAAGGAGCACUCUCUGCCCAGCUCCUCUCUCUUUCCUACCUUCUCCACAUGCAAGACGCCAAGAAACCUAACUGCCUGGACUGCAGGUUAGCUUGUAGAAACCAGUGGGUUUUUUGCGCUGAUAAAAUAAUUUAAUCCAAACCUUCCUUUUCCCUGGGAAUCAAAUUACGAGAAGGUCCCAAAAACGCGGUUCUGUUGUUCUCAGUCUGGACAGUGCCAGAGACGGUGUCAAAUUUUGUUGUUGUUGCUCAUACUGUGGUUUAUAGUUGGAACUUUGUGCAGACAUGGCUUUGUUCUCUCCUGAGCACUCUGAUUCGCGCACAAACUUCUCUCUUGUACAAGUCAUGACUGAAGCAUCCUGAGCAGCUCUCGAGCAGCCAUUGAAAGAGCCACUUCCUUGGGCAGAUCCAAGCCACAAAGUUGUUGGGGAACAUUGGUUGCCACCCCUAAAGGGACAAGCCUGUUGUGAACGGUCCAACACCGGCAAACGACCCAGGAGUCAGGGUCACCCUGGGCUGAAAGCAAGAGGGUCUUUUCCCCUGACCUUUUCCCCCUUGGGGGCCCUAAGUCCCGAGGAGUCAGGUAGUCUAACUGCCACCGGCUCUUGGUUGGACCCGAAGAGAGAUUGAUCCGAGGCGAAUGUUUGCCAAGCGAGCGAGGGAGGCACUCUGCCGCAGUAGGGAUAAGUCAGGCUGCUGUGCCAGUGGGUGAGUCAGCGACCGAAAUGCCCUCUCUCCAUUGCAUAACUCUAAACACAGGCUUUGCCUUCCGGAUAAUCACUCCCCUGGCGGUGGCACAGCGGGGCCUAUUUCCUGAAGACAUGCGUGGGAAAAAGAAGUUUUCCAGGCAGACUUAGAUACCCAGGCUUCCAUGCUGAAUAUUAUUCCUUCAAGGACCAUUUCUUACAGUAGACGGCAGACAUGAAGGCAUAGGAAAUGGGUGGAUGACAGGCAAAUGGAGAACUUGGCACUCAUGCCAAGAGCAAAAUCAAAGCUGCCUGCUCAGGCCGAGUUAGGAACGUUGGCUAUUUGGUGCCUAUUGCUUGCUUACCCAGAUCCUAACCCAAACUCAAACUGGAACUUCCUGGAUGGCGCCACCUUGCCCUGACAGGCAGUCUGAAUUUAUUAACUCAAAUUAUCUCCCAGGCAACCCCUGGCCAGAUCCUCUUUAACCUGGGUUUCAACCUUUCAUGCUCCAACUCACUGGCCUGCACUGUCACAGCUUUGAAUGGGACUGUCUUUGAGUUCCAUAAAGAAGUACUUCCCCCAGAUCCCACGCCACCCAAAGGCCAUUUGUAACCUUCAUGGAGGGUAUCUUGGUUUCCACUGGCAGCAAUGGUUACUCAAGCUGCCUCUGAGCCACCAGAAGAGAUCCAGAGCCAGAAGACCUUGACGCUCAGUGGUACACGCAUGCGCAGGAGACCUUGCCGAUCAGCGGUACACUCACGCGCAGACCCCUCCAAGGUGCAUCCCUGCAGAAGAGCUCUCUGUGAGCUCGCUUUGUACACUAGAGUCUCUGCUUGAGGAAAAGCCUUGGACAUCGAGUUAGGAAAGCUGUCAGAGACUGUUUUGCACAACAUCAAACACAUUCCAGGCCUUAUCUAAUCAGGGAGCCUUCUCCGACAGCCAUGCAGAGGCUGUUCCUGCAAAACAUUCCCCAGGCAGGGCGAGGGCCCUGAUUCUAAAGGCAAAGUAAUGGCUCUUUUGGCACAAGCAAAGUUUGGCUGGCAGCUGGAGCUUUGAGGUGACCUCUGACCCUCUCCCACAGUUCCUCCCAAGUCGAGCUGCACCAUUCUAAGCCACCCUCAAAUCCCAGGCUCUAAUUGGCUCUGGUUUGUUUUGCUUUUCUCUUCUGUCCAGUGCUUCAAAAGGCAUUUCAAUAAUUGUUUGAGGCACGAAAAAGGCAGGGUUCAGCUUUCCUAACUGGAAUUGGAGGUAAUUACUGUCUUCCAUGUGCGAGUCGGUACAUGCUGCAAAUCACGUGGCUCUGGGUUGCUCUACGGCGGGUGGCCAGGCCUCUGAGCUACAGGGAGGAUUAUAGAACUUCGCAAAGGUUCUGCUUCAGAGAGAGAAGAAGCCACGCAUCUCAGAAGUGCUAGAGGAAUUGUCUAUAUUCUGCAGUCCCCUCAAGACUGCCCAAGAGGUUUGGUCUGAAGAGACUAUGACUUCAGUUCUGCCCUGGAAGUUUGGGAUUUGCUUUUUUAUUUUGUUUUCUCUCAAGAGACAGAAACUGGCCCCACACAUAACUCUUUUCUUGUUUGAAAUCAGUAACCUUGGGCUCCACCUAGGCUGCCCGACCUCAGAACGGAACUCAACACAGUAAGGCUAAGACCCGCCUCAAAGAACCAGAAGAAGGAUUCGUUUUGUGCAUUCAAAACAGCAAACCCAAAUGUGGAGAGUCUCUGGAUGGCUCCGCAUGUGGACCUGGAGCACCUCGUUUAAUCGAUCAGCUGACUCACAGGACCUCACCCACGCAGUGAGAGCAGUAACUAAUCCAACCUCAGAGAGUGUGUGGGGUCCACAUGGGGUUAGCCCACGUGAAGUGCCUGUUUGGGACCUGUGUAUACCAAAUGUUCAAUAAGUGUUAGAUGACGUUCAAUGUCAGGGCUCCUUCUGCUGCAGUCAGUCUGAACAGGGUCGAGGAAGAGCAGCUGGGAAACAGUAUAAGGAAGCAGGGAGGCAGAGGGUGCCAGCCCCAAUCCGGUGUCUUUCCUCUCAAGGGAUUUGUCUUAAAUAUCUGAAGUUGCCUGAGAUCCAUGUUGGAGACUUCCUACUGCCUCUGUUCCCUUGGGUAUUUCAAGAAACGUGAACUAGCUAUGCUUCCUUAGCUCCUCCCUGCUUAGAAGCGCCGAGAAGCAAUGGGUUUAGGUUGGAAUAGAGACUGAAGAAGGAAGAGAAAGGUGAUCUGUUCAAAUUCUGAGACUCUGAAAUUGCUGGUCUGGCUUGUGGGAAGACAGGAGACAGGACUCAGAUGUAUCCUAGGGCCCUGGGUGAUCCAGGGAGCUACCUCAGUCUCAGCCUGGCUCUCAUUCGGCAUCCUGAAUGAUCUUAUCCAGGCGGAGGGCUGCUGUCCUCACUGUGCCGCUGGCCCUUCCCUUUCCAAUGUCCUCCUCAGAGCUCUCCAUCUCCUCUCACCUCGACCCCAGGUCCUUAAAACCAAUCAAACCCCACAUCACAGCAAGGACUCCGUGGAAACUCCCUCUGAGCAGAUGACCUUUGCGGGCCGCACACCUUCCUUUCAUAGUCCCAAAGACAAUGCACAGGCACACCCUUAUCUGUGUAUUUGUCUCCUAUCUACUUCUAGAUAAACUAAAGUUCAUGUGAAUGAG